rnacentral:rRNA from 1 species
AACUAACGCUGGCGGCGUGCCUAACACAUGCAAGUCGAACGAGAAAGGGUCCUUCGGGACCUGAGUAGAGUGGCGCACGGGUGAGUAACGCGUGGGUAAUCUACCCUUCAGCUGGGAAUAACCCAUCGAAAGGUGGGCUAAUACCGAAUAAUACGGCCGGGCUGCGGUUCGGUCGUCAAAGAUAGCCUCUGCUUGCAAGCUUUCGCUGAAGGAUGAGCCCGCGUCCCAUUAGCUUGUUGGUAGGGUAACGGCCUACCAAGGCGACGAUGGGUAGCUGGUCUGAGAGGAUGAUCAGCCACACUGGAACUGGGACACGGUCCAGACUCCUACGGGAGGUAGCAGUGAGGAAUCUUGCGCAAUGGGGGCAACCCUGACGCAGCAACGCCGCGUGAGUGAGGAAGGCCUUCGGGUCGUAAAGCUCUGUCGGAUGGAAAGAAACGGAUGCGGGUUAACAGCCUUCAUCCCUGACGGUACCAUCAGAGGAAGCACCGGCUAACUCCGUGCCAGCCGCCGCUGUAAUAC